CCUACGGGAGGCAGCAGUGAGGAAUAUUGGUCAAUGGGCGCUAGCCUGAACCAGCCAAGUAGCGUGAAGGAUGACUGCCCUAUGGGUUGUAAACUUCUUUUAUAUGGGAAUAAAAUGGACGAUGUCUGAGGCUUUGGAUGUACCUUAUGAAUAAGGAUCGGCUAACUCCGUGCCAGCAGCCGCGGUAAUACGGAGGAUCCGAGCGUUAUCCGGAUUUAUUGGGUUUAAAGGGAGCGUAGGGGGCUUGUUAAGUCAGUUGUGAAAGUUUGCGGCUCAACCGUAACAUUGCAGUUGAAACUGGCAUCCUUGAGUACAGUAGAGGUAGGCGGAAUUCGUGGUGUAGCGGUGAAAUGCUUAGAUAUCACGAAGAACUCCGAUUGCGAAGGCAGCCUACUGGACUGUAACUGACGCUGAGGCUCGAAAGUGUGGGUAUCAAACAGGAUUAGAUACCCCAGUAGUC
rnacentral:rRNA from 1 species